rnacentral:rRNA from 1 species
CGAAGCACUUUUAUUUGAUUUCCUUCGGGAUUGAUUUAUUUUGUGACUGAGUGGCGGACGGGUGAGUAACGCGUGGGUAACCUGCCUUGUACAGGGGGAUAACAGUUGGAAACGGCUGCUAAUACCGCAUAAGCGCACAGCAUCGCAUGAUGCAGUGUGAAAAACUCCGGUGGUAUAAGAUGGACCCGCGUUGGAUUAGCUAGUUGGUGAGGUAACGGCCCACCAAGGCGACGAUCCAUAGCCGACCUGAGAGGGUGACCGGCCACAUUGGGACUGAGACACGGCCCAAACUCCUACGGGAGGCAGCAGUGGGGAAUAUUGCACAAUGGGCGAAAGCCUGAUGCAGCGACGCCGCGUGAGCGAAGAAGUAUUUCGGUAUGUAAAGCUCUAUCAGCAGGGAAGAUAAUGACGGUACCUGACUAAGAAGCACCGGCUAAAUACGUGCCAGCAGCCGCGGUAAUACGUAUGGUGCAAGCGUUAUCCGGAUUUACUGGGUGUAAAGGGAGCGCAGGCGGUGCGGCAAGUCUGAUGUGAAAGCCCGGGGCUCAACCCCGGUACUGCAUUGGAAACUGUCGUACUAGAGUGUCGGAGGGGUAAGCGGAAUUCCUAGUGUAGCGGUGAAAUGCGUAGAUAUUAGGAGGAACACCAGUGGCGAAGGCGGCUUACUGGACGAUAACUGACGCUGAGGUUCGAAAGCGUGGGGAGCAAACAGGAUUAGAUACCCUGGUAGUCCACGCCGUAAACGAUGAAUACUAGGUGUUGGGAAGCAUUGCUUUUUGGUGCCGGUCGCAAACGGCAGUAGUAUUUCCACCUGGGGGAGACCGUUCCCAAGAAUGAAGCUCAAAGGAAUUGCCGGGGCCCCGCCCAAGCGGUGGAGCAUGUGGUUUAAUUCGGAGCAACGCGAAGAACCUUACCAAGUCUUGACAUCCUUCUGACCGGUACUUAGCCGUACCUUCUCUUCGGAGCAGGAGUGACAGGUGGUGCAUGGUUGUCGUCAGCUCGUGUCGUGAGAUGUUGGAUUAAGUCCCGCAACGAGCGCAACCCUUAUCUUUAGUAGCCAGCGGUCCGGCCGGGCACUCUAGAGAGACUGCCAGGGAUAACCUGGAGGAAGGCGGGGAUGACGUCAAAUCAUCAUGCCCCUUAUGACUUGGGCUCCACACGUGCUCCAAUGGCGUAAACAAAGGGAAGCAAAGCUGUGAAGCCGAGCAAAUCUCAA